GUGGACGCCAGUCUGCAUGGAGCCGACCUUGAAAUACCACCCUUUAAUGUUUGAUGUUCUAACGUGGACCCGUGAUCCGGGUUGCGGACAGUGUCUGGUGGGUAGUUUGACUGGGGCGGUCUCCUCCUAAAGAGUAACGGAGGAGCACGAAGGUUGGCUAAUCCUGGUCGGACAUCAGGAGGUUAGUGCAAUGGCAUAAGCCAGCUUGACUGCGAGCGUGACGGCGCGAGCAGGUGCGAAAGCAGGUCAUAGUGAUCCGGUGGUUCUGAAUGGAAGGGCCAUCGCUCAACGGAUAAAAGGUACUCCGGGGAUAACAGGCUGAUACCGCCCAAGAGUUCAUAUCGACGGCGGUGUUUGGCACCUCGAUGUCGGCUCAUCACAUCCUGGGGCUGAAGUAGGUCCCAAGGGUAUGGCUGUUCGCCAUUUAAAGUGGUACGCGAGCUGGGUUUAGAACGUCGUGAGACAGUUCGGUCCCUAUCUGCCGUGGGCGCUGGAGAACUGAGGGGGGCUGCUCCUAGUACGAGAGGACCGGAGUGGACGCAUCACUGGUGUUCGGGUUGUCAUGCCAAUGGCACUGCCCGGUAGCUAAAUGCGGAAGAGAUAAGUGCUGAAAGCAUCUAAGCACGAAACUUGCCCCGAGAUGAGUUCUCCCUGAGACUUAAAGUCUCCUGAAGGAACGUUGAAGACGACGACGUUGAUAGGCCGGGUGUGUAAGCGCAGCGAUGCGUUGAGCUAACCGGUACUAAUGAACCGUGAGGCUUAACCUUACAACGC
rnacentral:rRNA from 1 species